rnacentral:rRNA from 1 species
UACGAAGGGGGCUAGCGUUGCUCGGAAUCACUGGGCGUAAAGCGCACGUAGGCGGCUUCUUAAGUCAGGGGUGAAAUCCUGGAGCUCAACUCCAGAACUGCCUUUGAUACUGGCGGACUCGAGUCCGGGAGAGGUGAGUGGAACUGCGAGUGUAGAGGUGAAAUUCGUAGAUAUUCGCAAGAACACCAGUGGCGAAGGCGGCUCACUGGCCCGGUACUGACGCUGAGGUGCGAAAGCGUGGGGAGCAAACAGG